rnacentral:rRNA from 1 species
AGUGAACGCUGGCGGUAGGCCUAACACAUGCAAGUCGAACGGCAGCACAGUAAGUGCUUGCUCUUACGGGUGGCGAGUGGCGGACGGGUGAGGUAUACAUCGUCAUCUACUUCUUCGUGUGGGAUAACGUAGGGAAACUUACUCUAAUACCGCAUACGACCUACGGGUGAAAGCAGGGGAUCUUCGGACCUUUCGCGAUUGUUUGAGCCGAUGUCGGAUUAGCUAGUUGGCGGGGUAAAGGCCCACCAAGGCGACGAUCCGUAGCUGGUCUGAGAGGAUGAGAAGCAACACUGGAACUGAGAGACGGACAAGAGGCCUACGGGAGGAAGCAGUGGGGAAGAUGGGACAAUGGGCGCAAGCCUGAUACAGCCAUACCGCGUGGGUGAAGGAGGACUUCGGGUUGUAAAGACGUUUUGUUGGGAAAGAAAAGAAGCAGGUUAAAAAACGGCUGUGGUGACGGUACCGAAAGAAUAAGCACCGGCUAACUACGUG